CAUUAGCUAGUUGGUGAGGUAACGGCUCACCAAGGCCACGAUGCAUAGCCGACCUGAGAGGGUGAUCGGCCACACUGGGACUGAGACACGGCCCAGACUCCUACGGGAGGCAGCAGUAGGGAAUCUUCGGCAAUGGACGAAAGUCUGACCGAGCAACGCCGCGUGAGUGAAGAAGGUUUUCGGAUCGUAAAACUCUGUUGUUAGAGAAGAACAAGGACGUUAGUAACUGAACGUCCCCUGACGGUAUCUAACCAGAAAGCCACGGCUAACUACGUGCCAGCAGCCGCGGUAAUACGUAGGUGGCAAGCGUUGUCCGGAUUUAUUGGGCGUAAAGCGAGCGCAGGCGGUUUCUUAAGU
rnacentral:rRNA from 1 species